UCAACAGAACACCGCAUUGAUGUACAGUUGCUUGCAGUGGCCUUGCUGGUUCCUGUAGACGAGCUCUUUUGAUCCUAAUGGCGAUGUGGCCAAGAAAACAGGCAAGUGUUCCUACAGGCCACAUUCUCCCAGCUGCUGACUGGUGGAGGUGAGCUGCAAGGAACUGCCCCCAGGCCCGACGUUUCCCAGAGAACACCUGAUGGAGAAACAGAUUCCUUCCCUGGCCUGCUGGGUUCCCUUCUCAGGAAUGGAGAAUCCAGCUUGUGAAGGAAGAAGAUGGAAGUCAGAAGAUUUAAGAUGCCAGUGAGUGCCCGCCUGUGCCUGCCUAGGGCCCCCCGAUGCCAUCCUUCAGGCUCCCUGGGCCAACGCAGCCCUGGGCUCUCUCCAUGCUGGAAAGGCGAGAGCAUUCACACGACCCGAAGUUCUCAGUCUUCAGGUAGGAAAUUCACCAAUCCCUUGACAUGUGGGUUUGGUUUGGGUCUUUAAUCACUACUAAACUCACCCCCAAAGUACCUCGAAAAGGUAGCAAGACCCAGAGGAGGCCACAUCCUUCAUCAUUUUCCUGCCAGGAUCUCUGCCAGGAGACAACAAGAGGCACCUGCUCUGCAGGGCUCGUCCCCAGAGCUCGCCAGCCCAGCCCCAGGAGCCCUCCAGAAGGCCCACAUUCACAGAUUAAAUCUCAUGCAAUUUGGCGCCUCUUCCGUCUUCCAACACUUCACAGCCAUGGCCCACCCUCCCACCAGCAAUUUAAGCCAGCUCCAGAGCCAAGGCCACCUGCUGUGCACAGUGUGAUUUUUUUUUCCAAGCUGAAGCUGUGGGUAGAACUUUCAGUCUUCACCUCAAAAUACAGUCCUGCUGGGUGCAUGGACAAAGUCAGAGUCGAAGGAGUCAGGGGUCACAGCCAACACCUUCCAAUAAGACACUGUCCAUGACCUUGUGUCACCGGAUCCUUGGCCACACGCAGUCAAUAUCAUCCUGCGUUUUCAGUGGCUCAGUAAUUUACUUUGAGCUUCAGAACCACAAAGAGGUGGAGCCAAGAUUAAACCUGGUCCUUCUAGACAUGGGUUCUGGAUGCCUCCACUGUGCCUUGAUACCAAAGGGUCCCUACGUACGCCCCUCUCAUUUACGAUGGAGUUUUCUGGCUGUUAUUCAGUCCCUUCAUUCCAACUUCUCCUUGAUUGUGCUACCCAGAACCACGUUCGCACAUCUGCUACAGUUGGUUGUUGAUGGCAUUGAUCCCACUCUCGUUACAUGACUGAUCAGUAAUUAGGCUGAGCUAAAAUUAAUUCACAGUCUCUAGAGGCCAACCCAGAGGCUCCGCCUAGAGACAUCUGGCUUAUGCUUGCUGGUUGGAUGAGGUGGGUGCGAGGUGGAUGCGUGUCUUUGUUUAUUUGAGCUGCUGUAACAAAGCUCCACCGACUGGAUGGCUUAUCAACAAGACAUGUAUUUCUCCGUUUCAGAGGCUGGAAGUCUGAGAUCAGGGUGUUGGCAUGGUUGGGUGCUGGAGAUGCCCACUUCCUUGUUGCAGACAACCAGCAUCUCAUUGUAUCCUCCCACAGUGGAAAAACAACAAGAGAGCUCUCUGGGGUCUCUUUCAUAGGGGUCCUGUCCUAGUCUGUUUUGUGUUGCUAUAAAGAAAUACCUAAGGCUGGGUAAUUUAUAAAUAAGAAAAAAGUUUAUUUUUCUAGGAUUCUGAUGGUUGGAAUGUUCAUGAUUGGGUGUCUGCUUCCGGUGAAGGCCUCAGGCUGUUCCACCCAUGGGGAGGGUGAAUGGGAGCUGGUGUGUGCCGAGACCACGUGGCGCAAGACAGAGGGGAGGUGCCAGGCUCCUCUUAACAACCAGCUCUCAUGGUAACCAAUAGAGCAAAAACUCAUUCACUCCCAAGAGAGAGCAUUAAUCUAUUCAUAGGGGAUCCAACCCCAUGACCCAGACACC